rnacentral:tRNA from 1 species
GCCUGGGUGGCUCAGUUGGUUAAGCGGCUGACUUUGGCUUAGGUCGUGAUCUCACAGCUCAUGGGUUUGAGCCUCAUUUCAGGCU